UACGUAGGUGGCAAGCGUUGUCCGGAUUUACUGGGUGUAAAGGGCGAGUAGGCGGGAUUGCAAGUCAGAUGUGAAAUGCCGGGGCUUAACCCCGGAGCUGCAUUUGAAACUGUAGUUCUUGAGUAUCGGAGAGGCAGGCGGAAUUCCCGGUGUAGCGGUGGAAUGCGUAGAUAUCGGGAGGAACACCAGUGGCGAAGGCGGCCUGCUGGACGACAACUGACGCUGAGGAGCGAAAGCGUGGGGAGCAAACAGG
rnacentral:rRNA from 1 species